rnacentral:lncRNA from 1 species
AUUCCCACGGCGACGGCCUCCUGGCCCGCAUCAUGACUGUUGUUUUCCUCGCGGUGGCCAUAGCUUUUGGAUUUUACAUUCAGAUUGGUUCAAGGGGCUUUUUCCUUUCUCUGUUUGAAGGAAGCCACCCUCUCGAUCCCCAGUCAGCGUGGCGUCCUCUCAGCAACCCGCUCCUGGUCUUGCUUUGACUCCUGUGCUCCCGGGCUGCCGAGAACACGUCUGGAGCUUUUAAAUCAGGCUUUUAGGUUCAUCUCUGUGAAUAAUCAUCACAAAUAUUUACUGAGCAUCCUUCAUCUCCUGGAAGCCUCGUGGAUUAUCUUGCUGAAUCCUCACCACAGCAGCCCGCUGAGGGAGGUGCUAUCAUCGUCCCUGUUUUUCAAGGGAGAGAAUCAAGGUUUGGGCAGGGACAAGGUCUUGCUAUGUUGCCCAAGCUGAUCUUGAACUCCUGGCCUCAAGCAAUCCCAAUAGUUCGGUCUCCCAAAUUGCUGAGAUUGUGGGUACAAGCCACUGCACCUGGACUUCUUCUGACAUUAUAAAGCAAAGAGCAUUUUCAAAAGCUGAUGCUACUUGUGCAUAUUCCAUAUUUGCUGAGCGCUUACUGUGUCCCCAUUAAGUGCCAGGCACAGUUUUCAGCACUGCUUUAAAGUGUCUACAAGCUUAGAAAGGGCAUAGGCAUCUCUUGAAAUCCAGUGUUCUAGGGAAAGUUUUUCCUGUGGUUUUGCACAGAACCCACCGCUUCCUGUCCAAGGUGACAGCUUUAGCUGGGAGAGAAAUUAAAAAUGCCUCCUUGGAAUAGCUAUCUGAU